rnacentral:rRNA from 1 species
GGACCUGACUGCUAUCGGAUUGAUANUAAGCCAUGCGAGUCAUUGUAGUAAUACAAGGCAGACGGCUCAGUAACGCGUAGUCAACCUACCCUAUGGACGGGGAUAACCUCGGGAAACUGAGAAUAAUACCCGAUAGAACAUUAUGCCUGGAAUGGUUUAUGUUUCAAAUAAUUUAUUGCCGUAGGAUGGGACUGCGGCCUAUCAGUUUGUUGGUGAGGUAAUGGCCCACCAAGACUAUUACAGGUACGGGCUCUGAGAGGAGUAGCCCGGAGAUGGGUACUGAGACACGGACCCAGGCCCUAUGGGGCGCAGCAGGCGAGAAAACUUUGCAAUGUGCGAAAGCACGACAAGGUUAAUCCGAGUGGUUUCUGCUAAAGGAACCUUUUGUCAGUCCUAGAAACACUGGUGAAUAAGGGGUGGGCAAGUUCUGGUGU